rnacentral:lncRNA from 1 species
CUCUAUAUAACAACUCGUUUCCUCUUUCCCAGACUCAGCUUUCAAUUAGGGUUUACGUUUUAUCAAACAUCUGAUUAUUUCUCCGCCGUUGGAGUCUACAAGGUAAUCGUCUUCGUAUUCUUUUUAGAUUAAACUUUAUCAAAUAUGUUUCAUAGCCCUAUCUCUCCUUCUCAAUGCGAAUGAAAUGCAUCUAUUUCCAAUUUUUAUGUUUUCCUGCGAAUUUACUAAGGCUUCGCUAAUCUGGUCGGCAUGAAUUUUAUUAGUUUCUGUCUGACUCGUUCCCUUGAAGCAAAAUUAAGCGUGCUGUUUUUAGAUUUUUAUAAUCUUCAAUCGAUUUUCAUUGGAGAACACUUAAGCAGCUACAUAUGUUCAUUAAGUUAAACAAAUGAAGCAUUCAAAAUCAAUCAUUAGUAACCACUUACGAUACUUUUCGGGAUUUUCUUUUUUAUUGUAAUUUGGGGAAAAUGUGACUGUGAUGAGCCAAUACAGACCUGUAAUGACUUGCGAAAAUGAUCGCAACUUAUGAACAUCUAAGGGACUGAGUCUCGAUUCCCUCAUUUUAUUUAUGACUUCAAUUUUGGAAUUUAUUUAAGUUCUAAAUUUUUGAAAAUUCUAAUUUUCAAUAUGUAUGUUCGUGGCUUUAUAUACUGUGAAUGAGGAUUUGCUACAAUUUAGUAUUGGCAAAUUUUAAUGGAGUGAAGCCUAGAAAAAAUGUUCCCCUCGCUAUCCGGUGCAACCAUCAAUGUAGCAUUUGGACGUUGGGAAACAACAUUUGAAAUUCAUGUUUAUUGAUACAUAUAAUUUUUAGAAUACGUUGAUAUACUUAACGACACUGAUCAUAUCUCAAGUUACAAUACACGAGUUUUCCCAAUGCGUUUUUACUCAGUAGUUGUCUACAUAUGAAUCUGUCGAAUCCAAUCAUGUAUUUGUUAAGUGCAUGCAUUUUAAGUAAUCGUUGAAGAUUAAGAGAGAAGUGAAAGGAUGUGUUAUUUACAAACCUCAAGGUAUUUCAAAAUUGAUAUCUAAAAAUAUCCGAAUGCUAGACCCUGAGUUGCUCACUAAUUUAAUACUUGAAUCUUGAAGCUAUAAACGCUUUAAAUACAUGAAGGAAAUACCAAAAUGGCUAUAAGAACGAAACUAAAAGAUUGAAACAGAAGAUCUAAAGACUAGACUGAAACAGAAAAUCUUUGAGCUGCUAGAGCAAUUGUCCAUCCUUGCCACUCUGUAUAAGUCAACUCCAAAUUCUUGACCAUAUCCCCUCGCAACCAAUCUUGCCUUAUGCUUUUUAACUUACCUGUUUUCGUUCAACUUUGGUUUGUCAACCCUCUUCACACCGACUAAGGACCAUGUUUGGACCUUUUCAAUGAUAUCGAUCUCACGGUCCAUUGCCAUUCUCCACUUCAUCUCUUUAGCUGCAUCUUCAUAGCGUAUCAGAUCCUGAUUGAUUGUUUCCACAACAUGCAACUCAUCUUCGUCUGAGGUUAAAAAAAUCUCUUGUGGCAUAAUCUUACAAGUACACAUGUCGUUUUUGUUGUCUUCCCUCUGUGGCUUAGUUAUUGUUAGGACCAGAGGCGAAAUCAAGGGUAGUGCCUUGGUGCUUUGAUUAAUCAAUUUGUUUACUAUCUUCAUCAUUGAAGAUGUAGUGUUUCAUCAGUUUAGUUAUAGUUUCCCCAUUUGAGUUCUUCUUCACCUUCAACUUAUUUUUCUUCAAUUUUACUUUAGUCCCAACCUUUGUUCUCUUCAAAGAUCACAUCAUAAGCAACCCCAAACACGAAAAUGAUCAACUGUUGGCUUCACCUUGCUCCAAGCUUUCUUGUGGGGUCAUAUCAAGAAGGGCCUUAGUUGUACUUUUAUUUAGCACAUAGAAACUCCACCGUGUGGCUUUAACCCAAAACAUCUUGGGCUUGUUUUUUGCAGCUAGCAAAGUCACCACCAUAUUUAUCACUGUUCUUUUCUUGUGUCUUGCAACCCUAUUCUAUUGUGGGGUAAAGCUUGUGGUCAAUUGUCGUUUGAUCCCAUGUUUCUUGCAAAAAUUUCUGAAGUCAUUAGAUAGGUACUCUCCUCCCCUGUCUGUUCGGAUAGCUUUAACCACCUUUCCAGUUUUAGUCUCCAUGUUUCUCUUGAAUUCAUUGAAGCUUUCAAGGGUCUGUGACUUUUUUUACAACAAAUAAACCCAACCCUUGCGACUGUAGUCAUUAAUAAAGCUAAAAAAUUAUCUCUUUCCUGAUUGAGAUGCUGGUGUAAUUGGCCCAUAUAUGUGAGAGUGCACCAACUCCAACAUUUCUUCAGCACAUCGUGUACUUGAUUUCGGAAUGGCUUCUUUAGUUUGCUUUCCCUUUAUAUAAUCCCUACAGUUGUGUCCAAAACAAAGUAUCGUCAUUCAUGUACAGACAUUCAUUCGUCUUUUGAUCUGCAACUUCAUUGGCAUUUUCACUUGGUGCAAACAUCCUGUUUGUGCUCAUAUAACAUUAUUGCCAUUCUCCACUUCAUAUCUUUAGUUGCAUCUUCAUAGUGUGUCGGAUCAUGAUUGAUUGUUUCAACAACAUACAACUCAUUUUCAUCUGAGGUUAACACUUCUCUUGUGACGUAAUCUCGCAAGUAUACAGACCGUAUUUGUUGUUUUCCAUCCUUGGCCUGGUUAUUGUUGGGACCAGAGUCGGAAUCAAGAGUAGCGCCUUGGUGAUAUGAUCUUCAAUUUCUUCAUUAUCAUAUGUUCAUCAAUGUAGUCAUAAUAUUCCCAUGUGAGUUCUUCACAUGCAUCCUUUUUUUUCCUUCAAUUUUACUACACUCCCAACCUUUGUUCUCUUCAAAGAUCACAUCUUUACUUGUUACUACUUUCAUUGUUUCAGGGUUUAUGAGCCGAUAUCUCUUUGACUCUUCACUUACACCUUAACACACAAACAAAACUAUUGUUAUCUAGUAUUGCUAACUAAUUCAAUACUUUAUUCAUGAGGUCAAAAAGGCUUUAAAUACAAGAAGGAAAAUAAUAAAAUGACUAUAAAAAUGGAACUGAAAGAGUGAAACAGAAAAGCUAAAGACUAGGUAGACUAAAUAAACACAUGUGCAACUCUUGGUUGACUAGUCAAUCUUAUUUGAUUUCCUUUAUUGCAAUCCUAAAUACUCCAACAAACUGUAAGUACACUUUCAACAAAAUUUAUCCUAUUAUAGCUGCAAGAUUUUGAAAGCCAAGUUGUUGACUUAAACAUAGCUUUGAAGUUCACAGAAGCAAAACUUAAAGCAUCAUCAACCUUCUUUUGAGCAUCCGAAGAAUCCCUAACAAAAUGGACAGAAACUUGACAAAUGAUAUAAAUGCAUGUGUUACUCUUUGAUGAUAAGAUUCCACAAAUUUUAAGGUUUAUGGUUCCUUUACACUCUUUGAGGCCACUUAAAAUAUUCACAUCAUAAAUGUAAGGGUCUCAUGAAUAUUAAACAAGUUAUUGGUCAAAACUGGUAUCUCUUAGGAAGAGGUUUGAUACACUCGACGACUUACUCAACCUGUAAGAUAUUUGACAUUAACGAACAAUUUAUUAUACCGAUCUUCAAGCUUAUAGAAAGAACACUUAAUUGUGUAGUAAGGGUGAACAUUCCGAUGGAAUAAGAUCUGAUUGGUUCUUGGAUUUGACUUUGUUGAGAUAUGUUGACCUUGGAUUGAAUUUGUUGAGGCUUAUCGGGUAUAUAUUUGGAUUUUCACGUUCUUUUACCUUACGUAUCGGUACAUAAGGUGCAACUUGUUGAAAGUUAGUUUGUUUGUUAUGAGCAUAAAUAUAGUACAAAACUAAAAAAGACAAAAUCAUAGUAUAAAAAAAUUGCUGAAAAGUUUGAAAAAUUCUAGCUUUAAAAUCCAAACUCAACGGGCCUAAAAUGUAAAACGUAUGACAAUUCCUAUGUGUUGAUGCAGGAUUUAAAACUCUACAAACCCUAGAAGGGUUAGAUUUUCGUUCAAGGAGGGUGUAAAAAGGGGUUGCAUUUUGAAGGAAAGAGUUAGCAUCUAGUGUUUGAUCCAUGGUUGUUAGAAAUAUCAUCCAUAAUUAAUGACUUUAGAUGCUAUUGCAAUCGGUCUUUCAUUUGGAUAAAUCAACAACUGUUUUAAUGUCUUUAGAUAUUAUUUCAAUCAGUCUCUUAUUUAUUUGGAUAAAUCAAUAACUAUAUGAAAUCUAAUAUUUUUAAAUAAUCAAAAGAGAGUAGGUUCUAAACAUGCAAAAUGAACACAAUAAUAAUGAAUUAACAGAAAUGGUAGCAAAACCAGCUUAAAUUAACACAAAUGGUAGCCAAACCAACUUAUUAUUAACUCACCACAAAAUAAUCAUCAAAUUAGUUAUACUUUUAUUUUUUAUAAGUUUCAAAGUAUAUGAUAUAUGCAUAUCUAUAUACAUAUUUUACAUAAUAUCUUAAUAUUUCUAGUCAUUUUUAUGCCCUUUAUAUAACAAAAAGGUACAUAAUCUAUUGUAUGAUGUGUUGUAGUGGUAAAAUAGAUGCUCGGAGCAAAAAAGAAGUUGAAAGUUGGAAGCUAGGAAUUUGGAUGACGAUAAAAAAAUGAAGAAAAAUACACUCUCCACGUUGUGGCAACAUUCCCACGACGUGGCUUUUUGGAUUUUCCCGAUGAAUCUAGAAGACUUGUUGAAUACAAGAUAAACACGAAGGCCACGACUUCGUGGUGAUAUGUUUUCGGGAAAACUAUACAUUGAAGCCAUUAUCCUCCGAAAAUAGAACUUUGGCCAGAAGCUAUUGUCGUCUUUUGAAGGCCGAGUACCCACUUUGAAGUUUGGAGUUGCGAAAGUCGAUCAUAGCUUGGAAUCGAGAUAAUUGAGGCAAUACAACAUUCUAUUACGAUUUUCUACUUAAGUUUAAUCUUGUCUAUUAUGAUGAAUUUUGUUUUGCUGUUUUUACUUGCUGAAAUCAUGGGCUAAAACCCUAUGACUUUCGUUAAGUUUAGAUUGACUUUUUAUGUCUUGAUUUAUGGUUUAAGUUAUGUUUUGUUGGUUAUUUGUUACUUUACCUUAUUAAAGAACCUUCUAUGCUUAUGAGAACUACUUUUAUGUUUAUUGCCAAGUUUAAUUUAGAUUGCAUGCUCAUCUUUCUUUUAUUGAACUUGAAUCUUAUGAUCUUUGUGAACAGCAAAAUUAUAGGACUAAUGUUUUGACCAAAACCUAGUGUUAAAUAGAAAAAGCGGGUAAGUAAUUGUAGGAUCUAAUAUAUGACGACCGAUCAUAUAUCGUAUUGAUUCAAUAAACCAAUUUGAUCAAUCUAUUAUAAGUCUAAUUUAACUCGAACCAGACACUAGUAGACUUGUUAGUUUAUCCGCCUGAUCACCGUAUGAAUGAAAUUGUUUACUAAAGAAUUAAGUUAGUGAACAUUAACUUAGUCAUAUUAUAAAUUGGUAACCAACAAAACUAUAAUUCAUUGCACUUUCAUAAAUCAAC